GUGGUAAAAUCCAUUAUAUUUCUAGUCUCAUGAACAGCUAAUAUACAUAUUUUAUUCCUUCACCAGUAACACAAGUUUAACGUUUCGUAUAGUUACCAUACCUUGCCAAUAUGUUCUCAUUAAUUGUUUAAUAAUUAAGUCAAUACACUUUUGAUCUACUGAUCACAUGUAAUACGUGAAAAUUACGUCGUACAUAGACUUGUCAUAUCGAUACACAGAAUUAUAUACCUACUCGGGCCGAAACGUAAACAAGAUUUGUUUCGUACCUUUCUGACCUUCAUAUCCAAGAAUACUACCCUUUUCAACAUAGUGAGGGCAGGAAUCAACUUUUACAUCAUUUACUUACAUAUUGCGAUGUUUGAAUUUGGAACUAUAAUCAUUAUAUUCAAGUUUUUCUCAUGUUAGCAGUGACUAAAAUUCAACGUUUUGUUAUCCUCCUCAGCACGUUUUUCUGAUUACCUUAAAUUUUGUAAACAACUGGUCAUUCGAUUUCCAAUCUUUUUUUUCAUUCGAUAAACUAGUAAGUAUCAUCAAAAAUAUGAAAAAAUUCAGGUGACAUAACACUAGAAGUGAUAAUUUUAUUCUACGUAAUAUUGUAAAGUAGAACAAUAUGUUACCUCCAUUUUUUCAAAUUCUUUUCCUUGUGUUAUUGUUAAUUCCCUAACAUAGGAAAAAAAGUUGAAAAAUCGAUGAACAGAUUUUUUUACAAAGGUCACCAAGAAAUUACGUAGUUGAGCAUAUAAGUGCAUCCCUUCGCGGCGUCUUUAUUAAUUGUAAAACAUACGUUUUCCUAUACCAUAAUGUAUAUAUUGGAAUAACCCAUGCUAGGAAAGCGAGUGGCCGUAGAUGAAGCUCGUGUACCAUGGAUGUUACAUAUACGUAUAAUGAGCGCAUGUAUCAAACGACAAGCGGUCGCGAAGAAUCGAGAAUGUCCGAGCGUGAAAUACUCGCGCCUCUUCUUCUGCCUCUGAUUGGCUCGCUAGGUCAGCGUGUUGUAACUCGUACGGUUCCUGCACGCUGAGAGCCGAGGACGACGCGCCAGAAUGCCCCCCCCCCCCCCCCCCCCCCCCCACCACCGUUCGCGAAGGCUCUCAGCUCACGCGAUCAGUGAAUCAGUCUAAUUUGACCAACUUCCGAGGUCAGUGCACGUCCGUGUUUAUGUGAGCCUUCAUAAGCUGGUAUUUGACGGAUUAGCACUGAUAUCGAGGAAGUGAAUGCUCCAGCUGCGGUCGAAUAAUAAUUAAAACUUAUGCGUACUGCGUACCUAGACAACGCUUUCUAUAGCGUCUGUGUUCUUUUUUGAAAUAAUGUGCCAAUACUUUUUAUUAUUUUACUUUGUCAGGAUUGUGAUUUUUUACCUAGUCCCGAGAUGAAAGUUAACAAUUUUCCUCGUUAGGGUAUAAUCAUUGUAUGAUUAUUUUGUUUCAUGUUUUAUUUGUUAUCAAACCUCUUGUAUCGGAUAUAAGUUUUUGUUUGUUCAUGUUUACUUAAUUUUACUAUUUGCUAUACUUCUAUACUCUUGUGAGUACAUCUGUACAAUUGAGGUAUGCGUAUAUGUAAAAGACUGUAUGUUUAUUUAUACAUCCCAGUCAACAUUCACACAGUUACAUCGUUGGCAUAAUAAAAUGUCCGCAUCAACGAUACAGACAAACUGGUAUAUAAAAAACUACUGUUAUGUUUCGGAUACAUUGUUAAAGCGGAUAUUUCGAUACGUGUGCAAUGUAACUAUUGUCAUUGUUGCCUUGGAUGAAAGUACCUUAUAAUAAAUAUAUAUCAUGUUUCGCAAAGGUGUGUGCUUUAUCUCAUUUAGUUGUCCUGUAUUUCUCAUAAGAAUACAUAGGUGUGGAUGUAAAAUAAUUAAUAUCAUUUAAUUGGUGCAAGUUACCAUUACUGAAAUAGCUAAGAAUGUGAGCGUUGCUGUAUCAUCUAACCCCUGAGAUAAGUCCAUAUUGACCAUACAAGAAGCUUUUAACAGCUUGUGUAUUAAUAUAGUACAUGAAAAAUUAUACCGAAAACAUAUUCUCAAGUUGGUUGUUACACGUUUAUCGGAACCGCGUGAUAUUCGAUUAAGUGUAUUCAAUUAAACGUAUAAUAAUUGUUUACGGAUAUCGUUUUUACGUUAAAUCAACACACAUUAAGUACGUGUAUUAUUAUGAAAAAAAUUUUCCAAUGAACACGCUUAUUAAACGUGUUUGAACCACGAAAAAUGGUGGCUAUAACAGGUAUAUAUUAAACGUCUACGUUAACAUUUAAAUUGCGUUCUUUCAUACUUGUUUCAUUACGUUUCUGAAAACCGUAAUUUCGACGUUUACUUCAACCGUGGAAUAUCCGGAUCAUAAUCACUAACAGAAAACGUUGAUGAGC
rnacentral:lncRNA from 1 species